GUUGCAUGAACAUCGCAGCAACAGCCAAUGUGACAGCCGGGAGUUUUUUGUGUCUGUGGAUUAUUCUUACAUACUAGCUGAUUUCUGAGACAACUGACAAUUGGCGAUACGUACAAGGUAAUUUCCAUGUAGACCACGGUGGAGAUCCCAGCAGUAUCCGUGGAUCUCGAGGAGACACUCCAGAAUUACCAGAUAGACUUGGACACCGAGCACGUUCAGCAGGUGUGGAGAAGGAACCUGCAAUCUUAAUCUCUCUUCUGAUUCCGAGGAAUUGUGUCUGGAUCUGACAACUGGAGCGAGGAAAAUUGUCUAGAAUCCUGGUAUCCACAGAUGGGGGACUCCACACCCACCCACUCCGGUACCGCAAAUGCUUCGGAGUAUGAUUACCUCAUCAAAUUCCUGGCUCUAGGUAAGUUGGUGACGGGGAAUAUUGUAUUAUAAUAUAUGGGAUGGUCGCGAUCGGAUGGCGGUAGUAACACAUUUGUCUUUCACCUAUCAGGGAUUUUCCUACAAUAGAAACAGGAUCCGUUAAAAUGACCCA